GACGGGAGGAGCUAGCGUUGUUCGGAUUCACUGGGCGUAAAGGGUGCGCAGGUGGGCUGGUAAGUUCGAUGUGAAAGCCCCGGGCUCAACCUGGGAAUGGCAUUUGGGACUGCAAGGCUUGAGUGCGGCAGAGGAGACUGGAAUUCCUGGUGUAGCAGUGAAAUGCGUAGAUAUCAGGAGGAAUACCGAUGGCGAAGGCAGGUCUCUGGGCUGACACUGACGCUCAUGCACGAAAGCGUGGGGAGCAAACAGG
rnacentral:rRNA from 1 species